CUGAUGCUGCUCAGUCACCCCACACACACAGCCCCGGGAGCUGCUUGUUGUAAGUCAGUCUUUGGAAGUGGUUUGGACAAAACACUGGGACUCAGGGUUCUUGAAACUUGAAGUUACUUGAAGUUCUUGGAUUCUCUAAGAAUUUUCUGUAAUUAAGAACGACAUCUGUGGGACCAGAAAUCUGACAUGUAAAUUGAUCACAUGCUCAGUAUGUAUUGCAGGGAAAUCAACCUACAUCCCUUGAAUCAGCCAAACACACUCAAAAUCAUCCUGAACACUAACAAGCUUCAUCAUGACAAUAAGGCACUUUGUCAGUCAGGUGGGGAUCUUGAUAUUUAUCAAUCUGUAGCCAAAUUGCAUUUCUGUUUAGUGUAAUUCUGGAAAUGUAAAUUGUUUUCUUCCUGAGAAGACAAUAAAAGAUUUGGCCACCUAUUUUUAUUUACAUUUCUAAAUAGAUAAUUUUUUCAGAAUGCUUUCCCACGUGACAGUUCCUGCUGGCAUUUUAGGACCUCAGAACACUUUAUAAAAAGGAUUAUAUCAAAGUCUGCCUUCAGGCAUCUGCUUUUAUAAGUGUUGCUCUAUGCAGUAAUUUAAGAGGAAAUUCUUCUGGGGGCUGAGCUGUCUCACAGCCCUCCAGGAAAGCUGCUUUCUGAACAAAAGCUUUGUAUUGCACUAAGUUAGGUUUAGCUAUUUUGUCCUAAGUUAGAUAUUUUUGUCAAUAAGGAAAUCUGCCCUUUUUUGUC